AUUACUUCUGUUAUAAAUGGAGCUGACUUAGUGCCUACAUUUUCAGCUGCUGCUGUAGAUGACUUGCGUGCAGAGGUAACAGCUUCUGCAUGGCUGAAUGAUUUGAGAAAUCAGAUUGAGCGCACAAGAAUUCUUAGUACUGUUUAUCGUUCUGCAUCAGCUUUGGGUUCCCGUCUUCCAUCCAUUUCAAGUGCCAAAGCAAAGGUUGCUGGAGCAGGUGCAAUUCUGCGUCCAGUUUCCAAUGGUACUCAGGUUGUGAUGAAGAGGGCCCAGAGCAUGGCUCACGCAGCAUGGACCACCCGUCCUUCCCUUCUCCUGUCUUCAUGGUCAUGCAUUGGUCCCCGGCAUCGAGGCACAACUGCAUGUUCCAACUCAGCUGAUGGAAGUUCCCCAACAUUGUCCUCCAGAUUAGAAACUUCUGAGCCUCUUAUAUCUCCCAAGAAUACCACAAGAGAGGCCAUUGAAGUUCCUGUGACUUCUGGGGAAACAGAAUGGACAUCAGAAAUUGAAUGUUGUUCAGAUGAGAUGGCUAAACACUUAGAUAUAGAUGCUGAUCUUGAUGGUGGUGAGGAUUUCAGGAGCAAUACGCAUGAAGACAGAAUUAAUGAAGUUGAAUUGUGGCAACAACUUGAGCAUGAGCUUUAUGAGAGAGCAGAUGGUGGGCAUGCUGAUCUGGCAAAGGAAAUAAGGGAAGAAGAAGCAGCAGCCAUGGCAGAGGUAGGUAUGAGCCAGUCCGAGAGCACUGCUCCAGAAACAAAGGAAGUACACAGGUUCUUCCCUCCAGGAAAGAUCAUGCACAUUGUUACCCUUCCAUUUGAUAGUGCAGAGAACGAAGUUGAUUCCCUUUCCAGUAGUGAUUCAGAAAAUACCCAGCCUCUGGGCGAGGCUGAAGUUGGGAUUUUCGUGACCCCAAGAUCCCUGUAUGGUAAACUGAGGCUUUCUCAGACUAUGAUUAGUGAUCAUUUCAUGCCUGUCUAUAGGAGACAGAUUGAAAAACUAAUUAAAGAACUGGAGCAGGAACCAUCUGAUGAGAACCAUUAUUGCAGAGAGAAGGUAGUGUUAUAGGGAAAUGAUCAUUGACACGUGGGAAUCAUUAGGAUCCUGAAAAUGGAUUUUGACAUUUUCAGACAUACCUAAAAUAGAAAGGAAUUCAGGGUUUUGGAUUUUUCAUUGAUCUUUACCAGCCAAGAGCAUCAGAACUAUUAGCCUUUUGUGCCUUAUUAACUGAAAAAGAAAAGAUUUGUGGUUGAAGCCAUUUGGCUUGUCAGCGAACCUGAUUAAUUGCACUUAACAAAUAGUUUUUUUGGGAAGCAAUUUUUCUCCGGGUAGUAUGGUCUUGGCCCUUCUGUAAAUUGGUGUCUAGUUGAAAAUUGCAUUUCCCCCCUUUCUUCUAAUAAGUU
rnacentral:misc_RNA from 1 species